GCAGGUCUAACGAAUGCAUAACGGCAUUGGAUUUCAUUUUGAUAUGUGCUAUAUGUAUAUGUAACGGAACCACCUCCAUACGAUUUUACGCGUAAUUUUGGCGCAAAUUUAAAAGACAAGGGGAAGCAACGCCAUUAAAAUGGCGAUAAUCCUUUGCUUUAUUGCAACAACAAGCAUGCGAAAGUAUAGUUAUCGGAAAAUGAUACCUUUGGGUCGCAUAAAUAUUGAAAGAGGAAACCAAACAAAUGCAAUAAGUGGCAGCUGGGAGCAAAUCUACCGCAACCGGAACCGCAUCAUUCAUCAUCCAGCCAAAGCCCACAGGGCUGCCAAAGCAGGCGCUUGUGUGCCAAGAAGAAACAGCAAAAACAACGCCGGAGCAUAAACAAUAGCCAAACAAGCACUUAGCAAAUUUAGGAGAUACAAACAAUGUCGGUGUGAAUAUGAAGCAUGGCGAAAAGCAACAAAAAAAAAUCAAAAUAAAUAAAAGGCAAAAACUCGUCGCAUUCAAA